GCCAGACUCCUACGGGAGGCAGCAGUGGGGAAUAUUGCACAAUGGGGGAAACCCUGAUGCAGCAACGCCGCGUGAGUGAAGAAGUAUUUCGGUAUGUAAAGCUCUAUCAGCAGGGAGGAAGAUGACGGUACCUGAUUAAGAAGCCCCGGCUAACUACGUGCCAGCAGCCGCGGUAAUACGUAGGGGGCAAGCGUUAUCCGGAUUUACUGGGUGUAAAGGGAGCGCAGACGGCAGCGCAAGCCAGGAGUGAAAGCCCGGGGCCCAACCCCGGGACUGCUCUUGGAACUGCGCGGCUGGAGUGCAGGAGGGGCAGGCGGAAUUCCUGGUGUAGCGGUGAAAUGCGUAGAUAUCAGGAGGAACACCGGUGGCGAAGGCGGCCUGCUGGACUGCGACUGACGUUGAGGCCCGAAAGCGUGGGGAGCAAACAGGAUUAGAUACCCCUGUA
rnacentral:rRNA from 1 species